rfam:Gossypium hirsutum cultivar TM-1 chromosome 20, whole genome shotgun sequence
CACUUCAGCGCAACCUGCUGACGUGGAAGGAAAUCGCGUAAGGAAAUCGCACCCUCAAGGACGAGAUUUCCUUCCACGUCAGCAGGUCGCGCUGACGUGG